UACGUAGGGGGCAAGCGUUGUCCGGGUUUACUGGGCGUAAAGAGCGUGUAGGCGGCCAAGCAGGUCCGUUGUGAAAACUGGAGGCUUAACCUCCAGACGUCGACGGAAACCGCGUGGCUAGAGUCCGGAAGAGGAGAGUGGAAUUCCUGGUGUAGCGGUGAAAUGCGCAGAUAUCAGGAAGAACACCAAUGGCGAAGGCAGCUCUCUGGGACGGUACUGACGCUGAGACGCGAAAGCGUGGGGAGCGAACAGG
rnacentral:rRNA from 1 species